rnacentral:rRNA from 1 species
CACGUAGGGGGCAAGCGUUGUCCGGAUUUAUUGGGCGUAAAGAGCUCGUAGGCGGUUCGGUAAGUUGGGUGUGAAACCUCCAGGCUCAACCUGGAGACGCCACCCGAUACUGCUGUGACUAGAGUCCGGUAGGGGAGCGUGGAAUUCCUGGUGUAGCGGUGAAAUGCGUAGAUAUCGGGAGGAACACCUGUGGCGAAAGCGGCUCACUGGACCAUAACUGACGCUGAUGCACGAAAGCUGGGGGAGCAAACAGG